rnacentral:rRNA from 1 species
GACGAACGCUGGCGGCGUGCUUAACACAUGCAAGUCGAACGGAAAGGCCCUGCUUGCUGGGUACUCGAGUGGCGAACGGGUGAGUAACACGUGGGUGAUCUGCCCUGCACUUCGGGAUAAGCCUGGGAAACUGGGUCUAAUACCGGAUAGGAGCCAUUUUUAGUGUGAUGGUUGGAAAGUUUUUUCGGUGUAGGAUGAGCUCGCGGCCUAUCAGCUUGUUGGUGGGGUAAUGGCCUACCAAGGCGGCGACGGGUAGCCGGCCUGAGAGUGUGGACGGCCACAUUGGGACUGAGAUACGGCCCAGACUCCUACGGGAGGCAGCAGUGGGGAAUAUUGCACAAUGGGCGCAAGCCUGAUGCAGCGACGCCGCGUGGGGGAUGACGGCCUUCGGGUUGUAAACUCCUUUCGCUAGGGACGAAGCUUUUGUGACGGUACCUAGAUAAGAAGCACCGGCUAACUACGUG